UACAGAGGUCUCAAGCGUUGUUCGGAUUCAUUGGGCGUAAAGGGUGCGUAGGUGGCGAGGUAAGUCAGGUGUGAAAUUUCGGAGCUUAACUCCGAAACUGCAUUUGAUACUGCCUUGCUUGAGGACUGGAGAGGAGACUGGAAUUCACGGUGUAGCAGUGAAAUGCGUAGAUAUCGUGAGGAAGACCAGUGGCGAAGGCGGGUCUCUGGACAGUUCCUGACACUGAGGCAGCGAAGGCCAG
rnacentral:rRNA from 1 species